UGUGUCUGACCGAGCAGCGAGCGGAUCUCUGAGGGCUCACGGAGCUGCGGAGGGAGUCACACGCUCACCUCGACCAAUCAGAGACGCACUGGCCUGAAGACCGUGAAGCACCAGAGCCAGGUGGAGGUGGACCAGUCGGAGGAGGUUGACAUCAUCGGACUGGACGGGCAUAUUUACAAGGGUCGCCUGAACACACCUGCCAGAAAUACAGAAACUAAACUACCUACAAUCUCUACCAAAGACGGUAAAGCUAAAGACAAGACCAGGUGCUCUCUGCCCCAAAAACCCACCGCUUCUCCAGAUGUUCAUCACCCACUCAGUGUCAAGAGUGCUCAGUGCAGCCGCUCAACCUCCAGCAGCUCUGGGAGGGACUGGCCCGUGUCGGCUCUGGGCUGCACGUCUCAGAGCUCCGUCAGUCCUUCAGCAGCAGCAGAGAGCAGCUCAGAGCGGCACGCUGACGAGCCUCCCGGCCUGUAGGGGGCGACUCUCUGUCAUGUGUAGUAAAGUUGUGCAGACCGAAGGUAAAGCUGCUUUCAUCCUCUUAUUGUUGUCAUUGGAUUCAUUUGAUUUGCUCCAUGAAUCACAUGUCAAACAGUCCAGUGCUGUGACCUCGUGAUGUUUCUAUUGUUUCACUUUGAUUCUCUGUGAUCAGCCACUUUAAGUAUUGUCAUUAAGAAUAAUAUAAUAACUAUAAUAUGAAGCUUUUCAGUACCCGUAUUAAAUACUUGAAUUAAGCCUGUAGUUACAACGUAUGAACCCUUUCUACACUAUAAGUCUGUUACUCUAUAUUGUUGUUAUUAUCAAUGUGUUGGUCCGUCUCUUAAUACCGUCUGACUUCCUGUCUGUGUCUCUGAGCUCCGACCCCAUUGGCCGCUACUGAAGACGUAAAUCUUUAAAAACACAAACAUAUAGUUUCAUCUUGAAACUUCAUGUUAAAGUUUCAAACAAAGCGGAGUCAGAACGUGAAGUAAAUACAGAACUUUAGUGUAAUUCCUAUAAAUACUUAUUACUGAUGUAUGAAUCAUUCAAAUGUCGGAAGAGAAACAUCCUCAGUGUGUUUAACGUCAGCUCUGUGUGGCAGGAGGCCAUGACCCCGAGUGUUGCAUCAUGGGAGGAAGCAGCGGUAGACUUCCUGUUAUCAGAAACAUCAGGCCGAGAGCAGGAAGGACGUGCUGAUGAGUAAAGAUGAAAGGGGGGGGCUUUACUUGGAAGUGCUCCAGAUCACUUCCUGUCGUUGAAGAAGUUGGUUUUAUGUCAUGUGACUAUUUUGUGGUCAAUGUGUUGGUUCUGAAGUAUUUUAUUAUGAAGACGGAGAGAAUAUUUACUCAAGUACUGUAUUCUGAAUCCUACUUUAUCACAAGUAUUCUCAGCUCCAUGCAGUAAAAGUACA